rnacentral:rRNA from 1 species
AAAUUGAAGAGUUUGAUCAUGGCUCAGAUUGAACGCUGGCGGCAGGCCUAACACAUGCAAGUCGAACGGUAACAGGAAGAAGCUUGCUUCUUUGCUGACGAGUGGCGGACGGGUGAGUAAUGUCUGGGAAACUGCCUGAUGGAGGGGGAUAACUACUGGAAACGGUAGCUAAUACCGCAUAACGUCGCAAGACCAAAGAGGGGGACCUUCGGGCCUCUUGCCAUCGGAUGUGCCCAGAUGGGAUUAGCUUGUUGGUGGGGUAACGGCUCACCAAGGCGACGAUCCCUAGCUGGUCUGAGAGGAUGACCAGCCACACUGGAACUGAGAC